rnacentral:rRNA from 1 species
UACAGAGGUGGCGAGCGUUGUUCGGAUUUACUGGGCGUAAAGGGUGCGUAGGCGGUUCUGUGUGUCGGUUGUGAAAUCCCACUGCUCAAUGGUGGAACUGCAAUCGAAACUGCGGGACUAGAGUGCAUGAGGGGAGAGGGGAAUUCUUGGUGUAGCGGUGAAAUGCGUUGAUAUCAAGAAGAACACCGGUGGCGAAGGCGCCUCUCUGGAAUGUUACUGACGCUGAGGCACGAAAGCUAGGGGAG